GGUGGCUCAGUGGUAAAGCGCUUGCCUUGCAUGCAGGAGGCCCUAGGUUCGAUUCCUCAGCACCA
rnacentral:tRNA from 1 species